UAGCCGUAAACGAUACUCGCUAGGUGUCGGCCACGGUGCGACCGUUGUCGGUGCCGUAGGGAAGCCGUGAAGCGAGCCACCUGGGAAGUACGGCCGCAAGGCUGAACUUAAAGGAAUUGGCGGGGGAGCACCACAACGGGUGGAGCUUGCGGUUUAAUUGGAUUCAACGCCGGAAAUCUUACCGGGACCGACAGCAACAUGAAGGCCAGGCUGAAGACUUUGCCGGAUUAGCUGAGAGGUGGUGCAUGGCGUAGUCGUGU
rnacentral:rRNA from 1 species